CAGGAUCAGAGGUUGUAGAUGUAGGAUGAAACACUCAAAUCGUAGUUAAUUUUUUUAUUUUUUUUUAAAAGUUCCUGAGAGUUCAUAAGAAAACCGCCCCGAAAUAUAUAUUUUUUUAAUUUUUAUAAUAAUUUUCCCUUACCUGCUCCCGCGCCUUCAUUCCUUCAGCAUAAUCUAAAUUUCUCCCCAAACCCUAAUUCUUCCUUCCCGCUGCCUUCAAUCUCCCAAACCUCCUUUCAUUCCUUGAGCAUAAUCUAAACUUCAAACAAUUUCUUCAAGAUUUGUGGUUCCCUGCAUCCGUUUGGUUCCCCGUAUCACAAUCUUCAAACAAUUUUCAUGUUGGUUCCUCGCAUCUGUAUGUCUUCGUGUUGGUUCCUUGUUUGGAAACUAGGCGUUCGUCGAGGUAUUUUAUUGUAGAAAGAGCACAACACUCUUAACAAGGUUCCGAUCAAUUUCGUGUGUUUUAUGUUUUUGUUUGGUUUGUUUUUUUCUCUCUCUAACUUGAGUGCAUGUGUUGUGGUGAAAGAAAUAGAGGUGGAGUGUGAGUUUUUGAAGAGGUGCUGCGAGAAUCUGACGGAGGAGAACAUUGCAGAAGGAAGUGCAAAGGAAGUCCCUGUUGCAUAGGUGGAGUGUGAGUUUUUUUCCUUACUUUUAUUUGUAGCUGGUAUUGUGUUGGCAUGUUAUCUCUCUCCCUAUCAGUCAAUUUGGUUGUGAUGCCUUAACCAUUGCAUGAUAUUAGUCCAAGUUUAUAACAAAUAAUGGUAUAUCACAUGUAGUAAUUGUCGAAGACUUAAAAUACUAAUUAAUGGAAAAAUAAAACGCAUAGCAGGAUUUUAUGGUUAGGCUAAUAAAUUGUAUCCAACUUUUGAGAGUAGCAUAAUUACUCAUGUUAUCUUGUUGAGUUUGGAAUCGUGAAUGUGACAUUUGAUAAAAAUGAUUAACAUUUGCAAAUAACGAAUUUAACCUUAAUAAAAUUGCCCUAGCUGACCAAUUUCAAUCUUCACAACAGUAGAGUGCUGAAAAGACCAGGUUUCCAACUACAACUACACUAUUUAUUAUGCAGUUUAACUAAUAUCAUUACACAGGUUUAACUUUUUUCUAACAUGGAUGAUUUAUUAUACAGUAUAUUUUCUGAUAUUGUUUGUACAAUUUUUAACUUUAAUUUUUAUGAAGUUAAUGAAUUUAUAAUACUUAAGCAUGAGAGUGUGUAUGAUAACGGAUUAAAAUACCGUUAUUUGCUAUGUGAUUUUGAUACUAAAAACAUCCUUUUUCACUUAGAAACUUGUUUGGACUCAUAUAUUUUCAGUAAAUUGUGUGAAUAAGAGAGUUGAGGUUGAUUUUAACUGUUUUCUAACAAAUUCCUCUUGUUUUGACAGAGAUUGAAGCAAUAUUGGAAGAAAAAGUGAAAAGCCAUGAAGGAGGAGCUCAAAAGGGGUAAAAAAAAGGCACCAAAAAGGAAGGAAACCCGAAGCCCAGGCGACAUGAAUGAAAAACAGCGAAGCUAAAUUCACCGCUGGUCGCCCGGGCGACGGACCUGACGCCCGGGCGACAGACGCCUGAAGCUCGGGCGUCCAAAACUGGCACCCAAGCCUCACAAAAGCCUUGAUUCACGCUUGGGCGAGCUCCCUGCGAUGCUUGAGCGUGAUUUAACGUGGAUCAGACCCUGAUUCUGCUCUGGUUUGAUUCGUUUGGACCGCGCCGCACUUUGGGACGCGUCUGGCACUAUUUAAAGCACCCUGGGGCUCUAGGUUUUGCAUCCCUGGCAGAAGAGAGCAUAGUAAUACACUCCUAGCCAAUUCUUAGUCUUCCAUUCUUCUUUCUUUUCUUUCAUUGUUCAUAGGUUCCCCCAUGUCUAUGGGGAACUAAUUUCUAUUUGUUGUUGGGGAAUGAUGUAACCUUGUAAACUCUCAUGUAUUUGAAUUGAUUCUUAAUUCUAUAUGCUUUAUUUCAUUAUUUGUUAGAGUAAUUCAUCUACUUUAUUCUUGCUUAUAUAAUAGCAUUAUCUGUGAGUUGCAUGAGUGCCGGGAGGUUCCUUUCAAUUCAGGUCCUUGUUGAAUUACUCCUAAGGGUUAUAUUGCUCAGGGAUGAGGGUAUGAGUCUUAGUCGUCUU
rnacentral:lncRNA from 1 species